GAUGAACGCUAGCGGCAGGCCUAAUACAUGCAAGUCAAGGGGCCAGUAAUGGCGACCGGCGGACGGGUGCGUAACGCGUACACAACGUACCUUUGGUGGGGGAUAGCAUCGGGAAACUGGUGGUAAUACCCCAUGGUAUUGGAGACUGGCAUCAGUUUUCAAUUAAAGACUACGCCCAAAGAUCGGUGUGCGUCUGAUUAGCUAGUUGGUAGGGUAACGGCCUACCAAGGCGACGAUCAGUAGGGGAUGUGAGAGCAUGAUCCCCCACACGGGUACUGAGACACGGACCAGACUCCUACGGGAGGCAGCAGUGAGGAAUAUUGGACAAUGGGCGCAAGCCUGAUCCAGCCAUGCCGCGUGCAGGAUGACGGUCCUAUGGAUUGUAAACUGCUUUUGUACAGGAAGAAACACUCCCUCGUGAGGGAGCUUGACGGUACUGUAAGAAUAAGGAUCGGCUAACUCCGUG
rnacentral:rRNA from 1 species